UUCUAAGUUGGGACUGCAAAAAUUUGAGGAUUUCCCCACAUAGACCUGAAGUUUCUGCUUCUAGCAUUUCUCUUUUGUAAGCAGCAUGGCAAACCCGGUUUCAAAGUAAAGACCUGAGGAAGAAUGUGGAUUGAUCACUGUGAUUUCAAGUCCUUCAGAGCUGGAGCUGUUAAGACUUGAGACAGAUAUAUACAGGUAACAGGGGCCUACAAGAUCCAAUUCAUAAGAAACUGAGGCACAUCAAUCAAACGCCAACCCACCUGCUAUUGGCACUAAAUGAGGAAGGAAAAAGAACAUUGUCCCUGAAGGCUCGAGACACACAAACAGGAAACUGAGUUUGGGAAAGGUGGUUGUCUCCUUGACGCACACCAUGGUGCCCUUGUCUACUCUCUGUCUUCUUCCUUGCCAGGUAUUUUAUUUCAAGAUUUCGUAAGUGGUCCGCACUGACAAAUGAAAUACGCAGAAAAAGAUACUUAUGUUGUUUUGUUCUUGCAGACACCUUAUUUACUGGUAGUAGGUUCUCUCAUAGCAUUUUUCGGUGGAGUUGUACUGGCAUCUUUGACUGAAGUUUCUUUCAACUGGGAGAAAACAUGACAAGAAAGGGGAAGAACUAACCUACAUGGAGCUUGGUCAAGGUCGUCGCUCAUGUUUGAUGGCAUUGUUUCUGGUUCCACCGAUGUUGUCGAUGCCUGUUACCUAUGGCCCCUUUGCUGCUUUCCUCGGUCGGGCGUGGUCCAUCAGCCAUUGCAUGCAGACAAUAGAAUUUAGGCCAGCAAGUCGCUUAUCUACGCUACAGAUCGACCCAUAGACAGGGAAAGGAAGCGAUGGUUGGUGGGGAGAGGAGCCGGGGGACAUGUUGUGAUGGGACAAGAGGCGCAGUGGCAGGGAGAGAAGGUGAAGACUACGCCAUGUGAGUUGCAGAUGUUGUGCCUUAUGCGGCGGGGAUAAGGGAUGUGUGAUGUGCUUGUGUGGUGAGAGGCGAGGAGUGGCUUUUCCUUUUUGCGGGAGGCUGUUCAUUUUUGUCUAUUCUAUUUUUAUAUUCAAGAUACAUACAAUUAUUUAUCAUCAUUAUAAUCGAGAUAAUAAAUAUUUAUUUAUUCCAUUAA